rnacentral:rRNA from 1 species
GACGAACGCUGGCGGCGUGCCUAAUACAUGCAAGUAGAACGCUGAAGAGAGGAGCUUGCUCUUCUUGGAUGAGUUGCGAACGGGUGAGUAACGCGUAGGUAACCUGCCUGGUAGCGGGGGAUAACUAUUGGAAACGAUAGCUAAUACCGCAUAAAAUGGAUUAUCGCAUGAUAAUCCAUUGAAAGGUGCAAAUGCAUCACUACCAGAUGGACCUGCGUUGUAUUAGCUAGUUGGUGGGGUAACGGCUCACCAAGGCGACGAUACAUAGCCGACCUGAGAGGGUGAUCGGCCACACUGGGACUGAGACACGGCCCAGACUCCUACGGGAGGCAGCAGUAGGGAAUCUUCGGCAAUGGACGGAAGUCUGACCGAGCAACGCCGCGUGAGUGAAGAAGGUUUUCGGAUCGUAAAGCUCUGUUGUAAGAGAAGAACGAGUGUGAGAGUGGAAAGUUCACACUGUGACGGUAUCUUACCAGAAAGGGACGGUUAACUACGUGCCAGCAGCCGCGGUAAUACGUAGGUCCCGAGCGUUGUCCGGAUUUAUUGGGCGUAAAGCGAGCGCAGGCGGUUAGAUAAGUCUGAAGUUAAAGGCUGUGGCUUAACCAUAGUACGCUUUGGAAACUGUUUAACUUGAGUGCAAGAGGGGGGAGUGGAAUUCCAUGUGUAGCGGUGAAAUGCGUAGAUAUAUGGAGGAACACCGGUGGCGAAAGCGGCUCUCUGGCUUGUAACUGACGCUGAGGCUCGAAAGCGUGGGGAGCAAACAGG